CCCCCUCUAGGCAAACUGGCAAAGCCGCCUGCCUCAGAAGCAGGAAUCUCCCGGUUCGACUCCGGGGAGGGGGACCA
rnacentral:tRNA from 1 species